AAUAUUGGUCAAUGGAGGCAACUCUGAACCAGCCAAGUCGCGUGAAGGAUGACUGCCCUACGGGUUGUAAACUUCUUUUUUAAGGGAAUAAAGUGAGCCACGUGUGGCUUUUUGCAUGUACCUUACGAAUAAGGAUCGGCUAACUCCGUGCCAGCAGCCGCGGUAAUACGGAUGCUCCGAGCGUUAUCCGGAUUUAUUGGGUUUAAAGGGUGCGCAGGCGGAAUAUUAAGUCGGCGGUGAAAGUUUGCAGCUUAACUGUAAUAUUGCCGUUGAAACUGGUUUUCUUGUGCGUAUAUGAAGUAGGCGGAAUUUGUAGUAUAGCGGUGAAAUGCAUAAAUAUUACAAGGAACUCCGAUUGCGAAGGCAGCUUACUAAAAUACAACAGACGCUCAGGCACGAAGGCGUGGGUAUCAAACA
rnacentral:rRNA from 1 species